CACUGGGCCACGGUGCUCACUAGGGAGCAGGUGGCAACUCCUGGGAAUGGGGGUGGGCGACCUUUGGUCCUGUUUGCUGUGCAAACGCGCCCGGGUGUGGGGAAGCUGACGGGGCCGGGCCCAGGCCCCCGCCCAGAGGCCCGGGAGCCCCAGCCGCGGGAAACCGAGUCAGGGACCGGACGUCCAGCCUCCGCACCUCGACCCCCACCAUGGGCGAGAGGGCCGGGACUCUUGGGGGACGCCUCUCUCGCCUCUUCUCCCGGAGCGAGGCCAACCCGGCAGCCCCGGCGGGCCGGGAGAGGGGCCGGACCCGCGGCCGGAAGGAACCGGAGCAGUCCAGAUCUCUGGACAGGCCGAAACAGAGGAAUCUGGUUCCCAGGCGUGGGCAGAGUUGCCCAGAUCUACCCGGAAGCAGCCGGAAGGCUGGAAAGAGGAGCCGGUCGGAGGCGGACCUGCGGAGACGGUCUCUGAGUCGCUGGCUGGCCAGUCUGUGGCAUCUGGCCGCCCCCCGGAGCCCCUCGAAGCCCGCCCAGCCCCUGGGGCGCCUGCAGAGGCCGGCGGUGGGCAGCACCUCGGACCUGGCCAGCCAUGCCCGCUGCGCCCCCCGGGACCACCCGGCCCCGGAGUCCCCGACGUCCCCCGAGGUCGAGGGCCGCCCCGUGCUGGGCAGUGCCAGGGGGACCGCCGGACCCUUGGGCGGGGCGGGGGUCGGGCCGGCCUCGGGGGCUGGGGAGGGGGCGGAGGCGCCGUGGCAAGAACCUGCCGGACCAGGUCCUCGCCCCGCCGCCCCACAGGGAUUCCAGGGCCGGGCCCGGAUCCCGGGCAGCCCGCCUCCUCCCCGGGGACUCCGCCCCAUCCCGGGGAGCCCUGCCGCCGCCCGGUGCCCCUGCCGGUGCCCGCGCCGGUGCCCGCACCGGUGCCCGCCGAGUGCGGACAGGCGCCAGGAGCGGCCGCGGCCUCGGCCCGGGGACUCCGGAGCAGCCGGUCCUGCCCAGCCCUCGGCAGAGCGCAGGUGAGUAGGGCAGGCCGGGGGCCGGGGGGCGGGGGGUCAGCCUGCCACUCCACCGGCCCCGGCACUUCAUUCAUUCGAGGACCGGAUCCCUCCCCUCCUCCGGGGGCACCUCCCACGGCUGGGCACCCCGAGCCAGCCCACUCCCACCUCCUAGCACCACCUCGCCGGGAACCCUGCUUAGGGACCCGGAGUCGGGGGGGAGAUGUGAGUUAUCCAAGUCACCUGAAAUGUCUCCCGUGCCACCGCAAUGCCCUGGGAGAUUGCCCCGGAUUGAGAA
rnacentral:lncRNA from 1 species